rnacentral:rRNA from 1 species
GACGAACGCUGGCGGCGUGCUUAACACAUGCAAGUCGAACGGAAAGGCCCUGCUUUUGUGGGGUGCUCGAGUGGCGAACGGGUGAGUAACACGUGAGUAACCUGCCCUUGACUUUGGGAUAACUUCAGGAAACUGGGGCUAAUACCGGAUAGGAGCUCCUGCUGCAUGGUGGGGGUUGGAAAGUUUCGGCGGUUGGGGAUGGUCGCGCGGCUUAUCAGCUUGUUGGUGGGGUAGUGGCUUACCAAGGCUUUGACGGGUAGCCGGCCUGAGAGGGUGACCGGCCACAUUGGGACUGAGAUACGGCCCAGAGUCCUACGGGAGGCAGCGGUGGGGAAUAUUGCACAAUGGGCGGAAGCCUGAUGCAGCAACGCCGCGUGCGGGAUGACGGCCUUCGGGUUGUAAACCGCUUUCGCCUGUGACGAAGCGUGAGUGACGGUAAUGGGUAAAGAAGCACCGGCUAACUACGUG